rnacentral:rRNA from 1 species
CUACGGAGGGUGCAAGCGUUACUCUGAAUCACUGGGCAUAAAGCGCGCGCAGGCGGCUUGAUAAGUUGGAUGUGAAAGCCUACGGCUCAACCGUAGAACUGCAUCCAAAACUGUCAGGCUAGAGUCUGGGAGGGGAAGAUGGAAUUAGUUGUGUAGGGGUAAAAUCCGUAGAGAUAACUAGGAAUACCAAAAGCGAAGGCGAUCUUCUGGAACAGUACUGACGCUGAGGCGCGAAAGCGUGGGGAGCAAACAGGAUUAGAAACCCCAGUAGUCC